rnacentral:rRNA from 1 species
UACGUAGGGUGCAAGCGUUAAUCGGAAUUACUGGGCGUAAAGCGUGCGCAGGCGGUUAUGUAAGGCAGAUGUGAAAUCCCCGGGCUCAACCUGGGAACUGCAUUUGUGACUGCAUAGCUAGAGUACGGUAGAGGGGGAUGGAAUUCCGCGUGUAGCAGUGAAAUGCGUAGAUAUGCGGAGGAACACCGAUGGCGAAGGCAAUCCCCUGGACCUGUACUGACGCUCAUGCACGAAAGCGUGGGGAGCAAACAGG